rnacentral:tRNA from 1 species
AUAAAACCUGUAAGACUCCACUUACAUCUCCUGAAUGCAACUCAGACACUUUACUUAAAUUAAGGCCUU